rnacentral:lncRNA from 1 species
CUGUUUCUUGGUAAAAACCGAGACAAUAAAUAUUAAAAUUGUAAACAAAUCGAUCAGUUGUUUGAGUGUCUAUUCUAUUUAUUGAACUAUAUGAUAACAUUCAGUUAAAAUGCGAUUAAUGUUCUAUUUAUCAGUCAUUAACGUUAUUUUCAUCAUAGACAAGAAUAUUUCUGCAAUAACUUUGUGAGUGCUAUUUCCAUAGAUAAUAGAAGAUAGAUAAUUCUUCUAUUAUCUAUGGUUUUACAGGUAGAAACAUGAUAUCGAAAGAAAAGUAUCGAUACUUUCACUUGGUAACGAAUGGAAUGAAAAUAACGAAACGUAACGACCGUAGUAUCGCAACAUCCAUAAUCACGAGGGCUCUUCUGUAAAUUGUUGUCUUUUCGUGAACACUGAUAGUAUGUUUAUGUUGCUGUGAUGUUUCAAACACCGUUUUAAUUUUUUCAUUGUCAAUCAAUCUUGUUGUCCAACAAUAUUUCAUAGCGGCCCUUCUAUAGGUCAGUGACUAAGUGUACCUUUUGGCCAAAAGAAGAGGAACAAUGCCGAAACGUUACACAUGGUAUAGCAGAACUUGCAUCUUAUUCCUUCUACAACCGAUUAUUACAUUUUUUAUUUACUUAAACCACUAAAAUGUCAAAUCUUCAACAUAGUGGCAACUUGAGAAAUGCUCCUGCGAAGAGUGUUCUUGAUGUGGUGAUAUAGAUAUUGGCAAAUAGUGGUGUAUCAAGUCGACUGAAUGAUCCAGUAAUAGCAGUAAUCCAGUAAUAGUAAUUUCUCAUUAUAGAUUGAUAUUAAUGGUAUUAAAGAUGACAUUAAAGAAUUU